rnacentral:rRNA from 1 species
UUUCCAGACUCCUACGGGAGGCAGCAGUGGGGAAUAUUGGGCAAUGGGCGCAAGCCUGACCCAGCAACGCCGCGUGAAGGAAGAAGGCUUUCGGGUUGUAAACUUCUUUUCUCAGGGACGAAGAAAGUGACGGUACCUGAGGAAUAAGCCACGGCUAACUACGUGCCAGCAGCCGCGGUAAUACGUAGGUGGCAAGCGUUAUCCGGAUUUAUUGGGUUUAAAGGGUGCGCAGGCGGAGGCACAAGUCAGCGGUAAAAUCGCGGGGCCCACCCCCGCUCCGCCGUUGAAACUGUGUCCCUUGAGUGCGCGAAGGGUAGGCGGAAUGCGUGGUGUAGCGGUGAAAUGCAUAGAUAUCACGCAGAACUCCGAUCGCGAAGGCAGCCUACCGGCGCGCAACUGACGCUCAUGCACGAAAGCGUGGGUAUCGAACAGGAUUAGAUACCCCAGUAUC